rnacentral:rRNA from 1 species
UACGAGUGCCCCGAGCGUUAUCCGGAAUCAUUGGGCGUAAAGGGUGUGUAGGUGGUUGUGUUAGUCGAUUGUUAAAACCUGGGGCUUAACCCCAGAUGUGCGAUCGAAACGGCACGACUAGAGGAUGCGAGGGAUGUAUGGAACUCAUGGAGUAGGGGUGAAAUCCGUUGAUAUCAUGGGGAACACCAAAAGCGAAGGCAGUACAUUGGCGCACUCCUGACACUGAAACACGAAAGCGUGGGUAGCGAAUGGG